AAUAUUGGACAAUGGGCGAAAGCCUGAUCCAGCCAUGCCGCGUGUGUGAAGAAGGUCUUCGGAUUGUAAAGCACUUUAAGUUGGGAGGAAGGGCAGUAAGUUAAUACCUUGCUGUUUUGACGUUACCGACAGAAUAAGCACCGGCGAACUUCGUGCCAGCAGCCGCGGUAAUACGAAUGUUGCAAGCUUUAAUCGGAAUUACUGGGAGUAAAGAACGAGUAGGUGGUUUGUUAAGUUAGAAGUGAAAGCAACGGGAUCAACCUGGGAAAUGCUUUAAUAAAUGCUGAGCUAGAGUAAGGUAGAGGGUAGUGGAAUUUCCUGUGUAGCGGUGAAAUGCGUAGAUAUAGGAAGGAACACCAGUGGCGAAGGCGACUACCUGGACUGAUACUGACACUGAGGUGCGAAAGCGUGGGGAGCAAACAGG
rnacentral:rRNA from 1 species